UCGCGGCGGUGAGCGCAGAAGGGUCUGGGCUCGAGCCUGCCUGGAGCCGCCGCCGGUGCAGAUCUUGGUGGUAGUAGCAAAUACUCCAGCGAGGCCCUGGAGGACUGAUGUGGAGAAGGGUUUCGUGUGAACAGCCGUUGCACACGAGUCAGUCGAUCCUAAGCCCUAGGAGAAAUCCGAUGCCAACGGCGAUGGGAAAUAAAGUAAAAACGUUGAGAAAGCGGCCCAUUGAUCGGGCGAAAGGGAAUCCGGUUCCUAUUCCGGAACCCGGCAGCGGAACCGUUGUUUGUCGGGCCCUCACAAGGGGUUCGUCAGGGUAACCUAAAAGGGCCCGGAGACGCCGUCGGGAGCCCCGGAAAGAGUUUUCUUUUCUGCAUGAGCGUUCGAGUUCCCUGGAAUCCUCUCGCAGGGAGAUAGGGUUUGGAACGCGAAGAGCACCGCAGUUGCGGCGGUGCCCGGGAAUUCCCGACGGACCUUGAAAAUCCGGGAGAGGGCCACGUGGAGGUGUCGCGCCGGCUCGUACCCAUAUCCGCAGCAGGUCUCCAAGGUGAAGAGCCUCUAGUCGAUAGAAUAAUGUAGGUAAGGGAAGUCGGCAAAUCGGAUCCGUAACUUCGGG
rnacentral:rRNA from 1 species